GAUGAAGAACGUAGCGAAAUGCGAUACUUGGUGUGAAUUGCAGAAUCCCGUGAACCAUCGAGUCUUUGAACGCAAGUUGCGCCCGAAGCCAUUAGGCCGAGGGCACGCCUGCCUGGGCGUCACACGUCGUUGCCCCCCCAUCUACUCCUUCGGGAUUGCGGGGGGCGGAUGAUGGCCUCCCGUGCGCCUCGUCGCGCGGUUGGCAUAAAUGCCAAGUCCUCGGCGACGCACGCCACGACAAUCGGUGGUUGCGAAACCUCGGUUGCCCGUCGUGUGCGGUCGUCGCGCAUCGAGGGCUCGAAAAAAUUGCCGGGCUCUAUUUCGGCUUUCAACGCGACCCCAAGUCAGGCGGGGUUACCCGCUGAAUUUAAGCAUAUCAAUAAGCGGAGGA
rnacentral:misc_RNA from 1 species